GGUGUUCUUGAUUGUAGCUGAGCAAGGGAACACAGCCCCGUGACCACAGGACCUUCCCAGCAGGCGAGGCAGCCUUCUCAACCCCAGAUGCUGGAGAGAUAAGUCAAGGGCUAAGGCCCACAGAGGGGAAUCAGCUUUGUGGGCGGGGAUGUGCAAGAAGUGCCCCUCUAGGCCACUUAAAGGGAAAGUGUCUGUUUAGAUCACAGUGCUGAGGUGCACAGGGCAGAGCAGUUCCGGUGUGUGUCCCGUCACUUGUCUCUGGUGCGUUCUGUGUUCUUUGGGUCUCUCGGUCCUUGCAGACAUUGUUCUCAUCUAAAGCUCUCUCUCCCUCUCCUGUCCCCUGGUUUGUCACGUCCUGUGUGUUGUCACGGGUGUGUGCCCACAUUUGUCCCACAACUGCUCUGCCCUGGUGCAUAGCUUGUAACAGCACAAGUUCUGGGGACUUGAAAUUUGUAUUGGGAGAUUGCCAUAACAUUUUUGGUGCUGUUAAGUUGUCCUGCAGCCGUUUGACACUAGUUCUAACUUCCUUUCAGAUGCAGACAGUUCAAAUCGGUGGCAGAGGGCACCAGCCCUGGGUGAUGAUCUUCCCAUGAGCAGGUCAGUCAUUGUUUGCAUUUGCAGGGGAAGCGUAAAUGGGUGACUGUGUUACAGCGGUGUUCUUUGCCUUUAUUUUUAGGAGGUCCAGACAGAUAGCAGCAGUCAAGGCCCAGGGUGCCAGGGAAUCCACUUGGAGUAUGCCUAGCAGCUGUCACCAACCGGCUGAUGGCCCGGGUUUCCUGUGCUUGUGAACCCUCUGGAAGCAUUACAGGACUCUGUGAUGAAGCCUUGAAAUUUUGUAUUUCAAGAUGGCAUCGGGGUAGCCUUUGGCAGUGGCCAAGGAGGUGCGGCAAGUCACUGAGGUAGGGAGCGGGAGCCAAGGUCCGCUUAGGUUUCAGCAAUGCCGAGUCACUUUGUCUCUCCUUAACCCAGGCAGACCCUACAAUGACGGUGGCAGCCUCUGAGCAUGGCCAAAGUGUGCAGCCCGAGCAACUGGGCAUUCUUAGGAGAAUGCUGAGCAAGGGAACACAGCCCCGUGACCACAGGACCUUCCCAGCAGGCGAGGCAGCCUUCUCAACCCCAGAUGCUGGAGAGAUAAGUCAAGGGCUAAGGCCCACAGAGGGGAAUCAGCUUUGUGGGCGGGGAUGUGCAAGAAGUGCCCCUCUAGGCCACUUAAAGGGAAAGUGUCUGUUUAGAUCACAGUGCUGA
rnacentral:lncRNA from 1 species